rnacentral:rRNA from 1 species
GAUGAACGCUAGCGGCAGGCCUAACACAUGCAAGUCGAGGGGUAACAUAGAGUGCUUGCACUUUGAUGACGACCGGCGCACGGGUGCGUAACGCGUAUAGAAUCUACCUUUUGCUGAGGAAUAGCCCAGAGAAAUUUGGAUUAAUGCCUCAUAGUAUGCAGACUUCUCAUGAAGAUUGCAUUAAAGGUUACGGCAAAAGAUGACUAUGCGUCCUAUUAGCUAGAUGGUAAGGUAACGGCUUACCAUGGCAACGAUAGGUAGGGGCCCUGAGAGGGGGAUCCCCCACACUGGUACUGAGACACGGACCGG